CAAUAGCGUAUAUUUAAGUUGCUGCAGUUAAAAAGCUCGUAGUUGGAUUUCGGGUGGGAAUGGCCGGUCCGCCGUUAGGUGUGCACUGAUUGGUCUCAGCUUCCUGGUGAGGAGGUGUGCUUCACGGCCACUUAGUCACCGUGGUUACUUUGAAAAAAUUAGAGUGUUCAAAGCGGGCUUACGCUUGAAUAUAUUAGCAUGGAAUAACACCAUAGGACUCCUGUCCUAUUUCGUUGGUCUCGGGACGGGAGUAAUGAUUAAGAGGAACAGUUGGGGGCAUUCGUAUUUCAUUGUCAGAGGUGAAAUUCUUGGAUUUAUGAAAGACGAACUUCUGCGAAAGCAUUUGCCAAGGAUGUUUUCAUUGA
rnacentral:rRNA from 1 species